GAGUGCUCGGGCCGCGGCGCGGACGCCGGGACCUUCGUGAGCUUCCGGAGCGCGGCGUUCCGCUCGGCGAGCGCCUC
rnacentral:tRNA from 1 species